AACCUCCCAUGUCCCCUCGCGACGCCGCCUUCCCCGCUCGCGACACCACCUUCUCCGCACGCCGCGAGCGCGCCCUUCCCCCUGAUCGCCGGCACCACCGCGAGCACCUGGGUCCUCGCCGACGCCGUCGCGCCCGCCCCCGCGACCCCGCCUCCACCGACCCGCUCGAACCCGACGGCCUCCACUGAUCGCCGCGCGGGCGUAGCAGUCCGAUCGCGAAUCCGAGGCCACUCCAACCGCAACGGUGCACAGGGGCAACAGGAUCGCAGCGAGAGGACCCCCACGACCCUGACCUCCGAUCGCCCUCCUCCUCCGCCGCCGCCGGUGAGCCGAGCCCGCCGAGUCCAGACCGCCGCCUCCAUCCGCGUCACCGACUGCCGAGCCGCCGAGCCUUCUCUCCGUCGCCCCUCCGCAGUCGCCGACGCCCCUCCUUCCCGCUCGCUGCUCCGACACGCCUUCCACAGCCUCCCCACCGAUCUGCCCCAUCGCCGCCGCCCCUCCCCGCCCCAUGGACGCCCCUCCCUCCGCUACACCUCCUCCAAUACACCAGAUCGCUGACCUCGGACUUGCAGCCUGCGUCCGCUGCAGCCUCAACGCCACCGAGGCCAAGCGCUCCCGCAUCGCCGUCCUGAUCUUCUUGGUGACAUCGCAGGGCGGGACGCGGAACUGGAGCCCAACUUUUCUGCUGCAUCUCCGUCGAGGGCGCCAUCACCAGGCACUAUGCAUACUCCAUCCGUAAUGCCCGCACGUCCAUAUCCCUGGGCCCUCAACCUACUAUCAUAUCUUUCUGGUAAGUAGACAUCCGGAGCAGGCUGGAGUCCGGAUCCAUGGCCGAGAUGGCGCUGAGGAUAGGAAUGGCCGGCGAACACUGGAGGUGCAGGGCUCAGGCUUGGGGCUCGCGGCUACGGCUUCUCGGCGUCAGUGGCGGCAUGAGCUGGAGCUGGGGGCGCUACCAGUUCUGCUCUUUUUCUGAAAGGUCAGACGAAAUCAGCGAGAACCUCCCACUUCUCUCUCGAUCGAUUAUUGCCAGCACCACUAAAUCGAGCAACGGCAACCGCACCCCUCCCUGCCUCAGAUGCAAAUCGAAGCAGCAGGCAGCAGCAACACGUUUCAUUCCGCUGCUUCUACUCCUAGUGGUUUUUUUUCUUUUCUUUUGUCAAGGUUGUUUGUUAGGUGUACCUAUCAACUAUAUUGAUCAUUGUCAGAGACCUAUACUUUAUGUCCAAUUUUUGCUAAUGCUUGUCUGUGAUGAAUCAAGCAGUGUCGUGAUGUUGCUGUUAUCAAGAUUAGGAACCUGUCAUUUUUUCUUCUGAAAAUAUCUGUAUCUGAAAUUUCUUCCUCCCCUUUGUGCUUAUAAUUCAUGUGUCUCAUGUUUAGAAUGUGGAUAGAGGGGAUGAGAGUAUCAUUAACAAUGAAAUUGUAGAACGGUUUGUCUUA